rnacentral:rRNA from 1 species
AGUGAACGCUGGCGGUAGGCCUAACACAUGCAAGUCGAACGGCAGCACAGUAAGAGCUUGCUCUUACGGGUGGCGAGUGGCGGACGGGUGAGGAAUACAUCGGAAUCUACUUUUUCGUGGGGGAUAACGUAGGGAAACUUACGCUAAUACCGCAUACGACCUACGGGUGAAAGCAGGGGAUCUUCGGACCUUGCGCGAUUGAAUGAGCCGAUGUCGGAUUAGCUAGUUGGCGGGGUAAAGGCCCACCAAGGCGACGAUCCGUAGCUGGUCUGAGAGGAUGAUCAGCCACACUGGAACUGAGACACGGUCCAGACUCCUACGGGAGGCAGCAGUGGGGAAUAUUGGGCAAUGGGCGCAAGCCUGAUCCAGCCAUACCGCGUGGGUGAAGAAGGCCUUCGGGUUGUAAAGCCCUUUUGUUGGGAAAGAAAAGCAGCAGGUUAAUACCCCGCUGCUCUGACGGUACCCAAAGAAUAAGCACCGGCUAACUUCGUG